CUAGGAAUCUUGGGAAUGGGCGAAAGCCUGACCCAGCAACGCCGCGUGGGGGAUGAAGGCCUUCGGGUCGUAAACCCCUUUUGUGAGGGACGAUGAUGACGGUACCUCACGAAUAAGCCACGGCUAACUACGUGCCAGCAGCCGCGGUAAUACGUAGGUGGCAAGCGUUGUCCGGAUUUACUGGGCGUAAAGGGCGUGCAGGCGGUCUGUUAAGUCUAGGGUGAAAGCUCCCGGCUCAACUGGGAGAGGUCCUUGGAUACUGGCGGACUUGAGGGAUGCAGAGGAAAGUGGAAUUCCCGGUGUAGUGGUGAUAUGCGUAGAUAUCGGGAGGAACACCAGUGGCGAAGGCGGCUUUCUGGGCAUUACCUGACGCUGAGACGCGAAAGCGUGGGGAGCGAACCGGAUUAGAUACCCGGGUAGUCCACGCUGUAAACGAUGGACACUAGGUGUAGGGGGUAUCGACCCCCUCUGUGCCGCAGCUAACGCAAUAAGUGUCCCGCCUGGGGAGUACGGCCGA
rnacentral:rRNA from 1 species